UUAGUUUGUUGUUUGCUACUGCUGUUGCUCAAGCCAUGCGAGUCUGUCUGUGAAGCUGAUUCUCUGUCCUGCAUUCCUUGUUACUCUGCUCACUGUAAUUGUGUUUCCUGGAAUAUUGGUUAUUGUCAGCUUGGACAAUUCUUUGUUUUACUAUUUGUGGAUUUUGGACAUUAUGUUUUCUUUUUGGAUUUUUCAUUCUUUGUGGAUACCUUGUUUUCUGGAUUGCUGUCUUUAAGGUUGGACUUGAACCUACAGUAAGUUGUACAUUUUGAGUUUUGUUAAAUAAAUCUUCCUGAAAACGGAACCAGCUAAGUUUGUGUUUUGCAUUUGGGCCCAAAAACUGCCUCUGUCUGUGCACUCAGCACCCAAUGCUGACACAUAAUCAAAUAUGAUACUUUUUAUUGUUAUUUAAAGUUAAUGGCAUACUUAUAUCUUGCAUUAGUGAGCUUCUUAUGCUCAAACACAGGACCUUAGUUGUCUCCCAUGCCAGGCUUGUUGUUAUGGUUCUUAUUUCUAUGUUUAUAAUAGGGCUUACUGCCUUCAUACAGAAAAUUUACUAUUGACACUGUUUUCACAUCUGGAUAGCACAGGUAUGUGUUCAGCAUCAACAUAGCAGAUAUGUGGUCACUUGUUGUUACCCCAUACAAAAUGCUCAUACACCCCUCAGCUGUACUGAUACAGUGGUCCAGCCAUGAUGUUCUGUGCCAGGCCUCACUAAUGUAAGUAUAACUGUCUGUGAGCAACAAUACUGUGUUUGACAGUAUAAAAUUAUCAUCUCCAGAAAAUUGAAUUAUAUGUGUGGCACAUAGUGACUUCUUAUCUGAGAUAUCCGCAUUUAUGUCUCCAAGAGGUAUUACUGUUUUGAAUAAAAGAACUGAUGCAGGCAAGCCUAUUUAAAUCAUCCUCAUUCUAACAGCAUUCACACCAAAAAGAUCCUCGAUAGCAAGCAUAUGCCAUACUGGAACAUUCACUGGACAAAAACCUGUUACAUUCUCUGACAGUUGUGAUGACUUAACUGUCUCUUGUAUGCUAUUGUGCAUAUCAUAAAAUAGUUCUUUCACAGUAUCUUCAGCACCGUUUAAUGUACUUGUCUACCUUGUUUGUGAGGUCUCUACAUUUAAGAAAUUCCUUGACAAUCUGAUCUUUAACAUGUUUGGUUCCAUUAAAGAACUUCAAGACGGUUCCACUAAAAGAGUCAAAUGAAAAUGUGGAUUUGGCCCACUGAGGUAUCCAAUUUCUCACACUUGCACAAAUGUGUGUCAUUAAGUGUAAAUUAAAUGUCAUGUUUUCUCUACCAAACAACUCACAAACUCACACAUUUAUUCAGUGCCCUUUCUGCAUUAAUAUCAACAACUUGGGUCUGUUCCUGAAGCAGAGAAAAAAUGCCAAAAACCAGAAGGGAAAGAUGGUUCCAGUAUGUCGUUAAAAGAACAUCAGAAAGCAAAGGUAAAGCUACCCGGAGGAAGAAAACAUCCUGGCAACAGACAGAGGUGCAGGCAGUGGAAUGGCACUUGAAGCAGUUCAUCAUUGUUCUGUAACAGCAAAGAGUGACUGUGACAAGUGUUUAAAGGCUGAACCUCCAGAAUCUUUACAAAGGACCCAUCAGAGGAGAGCAGAUGAGAUAAACAAGGCAGGCCCAGUUGACCUGACAUGCACAGCACUACAAAGAAGGUCCUUUCAGCAUAAAUGAUUCGAAACUCAAACUGGAAGCGAGCACUGCACAGCUUCAGAGAUCACAAAGCAAACUGAGGACACAAGACCUCAAUGGACAGAGACAGUUUAAAACAAGGCAAUGUUGUGGAACAAUUGUACAUGCUGGGGAAAUUAUUGAGACGCUGUGUUGUUGCUGUCACCAGCCUUUUAGCUUUAUGUGCUAUGCAUAUAAACUGAAUUUGAUGCUCUGACAUAUUUGCAAGGCUAUGCCAGAAGCCAUUGUCUUUUUUAAAACUUGGAAAUCUUCAAGUGUUUCCCUUGUAAACCAUCAGGCAUUCACUGAAACAUAGAAAACUCUUGGGCUUGUACAACAGCGAAUAUGUCCAGUUAUCCAUUACUUGACAACAGGUUGGAUAUGGCCAUGGCAGCUACAAUCGUUUAAAGUUGUGCUGGAAAAUCUCACUCCUCUUAAGGUGCCUAGAAAGAACUGCAGCACCUAUGGCAGCGGGGCUUCUGUGCAAACUCUACACAUUUCCUUGUGUACAUGCUUGCGAUGUUCAAAAGCAUACUGUCCCCUAAAGAGGGGCUCCAUUAAGUACCAGAAGCAAUUUGAAGAUUUGGCACAAGUGAAACUGUACAAAGAUGCAGUGAUACAAACAUUGAAAUCAAUACGGAAAUAAUGAGUAGAAUAGCGUAAAUGUAAUAAAUAAUGUGUAGAGUCUCUGUUGCGCAUGGCGCUGACACAGGGCGUGCAUCCUGGGCGCAUUGCAUGAAUAUAGUUGUUAGCAGCAUUGUCAGCAGCAGCCACCAUUGUUCUUUGUCUGUUUAACUUUGUUUGCAAUAAACCUUAUUUUGAUAGACAGUUGUGACUCCUCAAUGUUGCCUCCCUUGAGCCAGGGUCGUAAUAUUACUACAGAGGUUUUUUCACAUUUGAGAUUGAGAGAUAGAUAUGGACAGAUAAAGUUAGAUAUAGUCAUAUCUUGGAACAUCCUGAUUGAAAGAUGUUGAGAAUAACAGAAAGAAGGGGACACCAGAUCAGAAUCGUCUGUUUCGAUUGAAGCCCCUUAUGGACACCAUCAAAGAUGCUUGCAAAGCAUUUUACCACCCCAGGCAGAACAUUUCAAUUGACAAGAGGAGGUGUCAACAAAGGGUCAUACUGGAAGGACUCAAUAUAUGAAGGCAAAGCAUACCAAGCAGGGUUUUAAACUCUUUGUUUUGGCUGACAGCAGCAAUGGCUACACCUCAGACUCACUGGAGUGAUGUGUAAGUCAACUGUACACUGGAAAGUCACAGUUUGCCUCAGGCGCUGGACUUGCGUAUGACUCUGUCAUGUCCCUGAUAAAUCCAGCAUUCCUGGGCAGUGAUUUUCAUCUGUAUGUGAAUACUCAGUCCAAGACUGUUCAAAGAUCUGUUUAUCCUCAAUAUUGGAGCAUGUACAUACAGAGUAAAUAAAAAAAGAAUGUCCCCUCAAA